rnacentral:rRNA from 1 species
GUGCUUGAGUAACCAAAAAAAUUAGGAAAGAAAUCGUUAAGGGCGUAUGGCGGAUGCCUAGGCUUUCAGAGGCGACGAAGGACGUGGUAAGCUGCGAAAAGCUACGGGGAUUGGCACACACGAAUAGAUCCGUAGAUAUCCGAAUGGGGCAACCCAAUACAUUGAAGAUGUAUUACUGCGUAAGCAGAGCAAACCCGGAGAACUGAAACAUCUAAGUACCCGGAGGAAAAGAUAUCGAAGAGAUUCCGUAAGUAGUGGC